AUGCGCUUCAUGAAGUCAGGGGUUAAGAAGCAGAAACAUGAUUUAAGUGACACUCUAGAGAUGAAGUGUUCUCCAGGGAUCGUGAUUGUCCUAUUCUUAAUGUUUGGACAAACCCAUGGAAACUCAGUGAACCAGACUGAAGGCCAGGUGACCCUCUCAGAAGAGGCUUCCUUGACUAUGAAUUGUACUUACUCAACGUCAGGGUACCAGGUCCUUUUCUGGUAUGUCCAGUAUCUGGGGGAUGGUCCACAGCUCCUCCUGAAAGCAUCAGGAGACAAGGAGAAGGGAAGUAACAAAGGAUUUGAAGCCACUUUGGACAGCUCAUCCAAAUCCUUCCACUUGAAGAAAGGCUCACUGCAAGUGUCAGACUCAGCUGUGUACUACUGUGUCAUGAGUGACACAGUGAUGGGGACUGCAGGGGGAGCUGAGCACAAACUCUGA